GAGCCUGGGGAGAUUGAGAUACAUAGCCAAUCCAGGUCUCCUUCAGGGAUUGGCCUUCGGUGCUGUCGAUCAGGUCGUACAGGGAGCCGCCGCUGCAGUACUCAAGGACAAGCUGCAAUAGGAAGGAAUGAUUUCAGGCCGUAUACUCCGAUGACUCCUCGUUUGGAGCAGGGUGGU